GCCUGGGUGGCUCAGUCGGUUGAGCGUCUGACUUCAGCUCAGGUCACGAUCUCAUGGUUUGUGAGUUCGAGCCCCGCGUCUGGCU
rnacentral:tRNA from 1 species